UACGAAGGGUGCUAGCGUUGUUCGGAAUCACUGGGCGUAAAGCGCACGUAGGCGGAUCUUUAAGUCAGGGGUGAAAUCCUGGAGCUCAACUCCAGAACUGCCUUUGAUACUGGGGAUCUCGAGUCCGGAAGAGGUGAGUGGAACUCCGAGUGUAGAGGUGAAAUUCGUAGAUAUUCGGAAGAACACCAGUGGCGAAGGCGGCUCACUGGUCCGGUACUGACGCUGAGGUGCGAAAGCGUGGGGAGCAAACAGG
rnacentral:rRNA from 1 species